rnacentral:rRNA from 1 species
ACGAACGCUGGCGGCGUGCUUAACACAUGCAAGUCGCACGGAAAGGCCCUGCUUUUGUGGGGUGCUCGAGUGGCGAACGGGUGAGUAACACGUGAGUAACCUGCCCUUGACUUUGGGAUAACUUCAGGAAACUGGGGCUAAUACCGGAUAGGAGCUCCUGCUGCAUGGUGGGGGUUGGAAAGUUUCGGCGGUUGGGGAUGGACUCGCGGCUUAUCAGCUUGUUGGUGGGGUAGUGGCUUACCAAGGCUUUGACGGGUAGCCGGCCUGAGAGGGUGACCGGCCACAUUGGGACUGAGAUACGGCCCAGACUCCUACGGGAGGCAGCAGUGGGGAAUAUUGCACAAUGGGCGGAAGCCUGAUGUAGCAACGCCGCGUGCGGGAUGACGGCCUUCGGGUUGUAAACCGCUUUCGCCUGUGACGAAGCGUGAGUGACGGUAAUGGGUAAAGAAGCACCGGCUAACUACGUG